rnacentral:siRNA from 1 species
GCUGAAAGUGACUACAUUUGGA